rnacentral:rRNA from 1 species
UACGAAGGGGGCUAGCGUUGCUCGGAAUUACUGGGCGUAAAGGGCGCGUUAGGCGGCACUGUUAGUCAGGCGUGAAAGUCCUGGGCUCAACCUGGGAACUGCGCUUGAUACGGCAGAGCUAGAGGAUGGAAGAGGCUCGCGGAAUUCCCAGUGUAGAGGUGAAAUUCGUAGAUAUUGGGAAGAACACCGGUGGCGAAGGCGGCGAGCUGGUCCAUUACUGACGCUGAGGCGCGACAGCGUGGGGAGCAAACAGG